rnacentral:rRNA from 1 species
UGAAUACGAGACGCUAAGGCGUCGAAGUAGUGUAUGUCAUACUUCCAAGAAAAGCAUGCACUGUCAUAGAUAAAAAACGCCUGUACCAUAACCGACACAGGUGGGUAGGUAGAGUAUACUAAGGGGCGCGAGAUAACUCUCUCUAAGGAACUCGGCAAAAUAACUCCGUAACUUCGGGAGAAGGAGUGCCUUAUUCGUAAGGUUGCAAUAACAAGAUCCAAGCAACUGUUUAUCAAAAACACAGGUCUCCGCUAAGUCGUAAGACGAUGUAUGGGGGCUGACGCCUGCCCAGUGCCAGAAGGUUAAAGAAGUUGGUUAGCAAUUGCGAAGCUGAUAACUGAAGCCCUGGUGAACGGCGGCCGUAACUAUAACGGUCCUAAGGUAGCGAAAUUCCUUGUCGGGUAAGUUCCGACCCGCACGAAAGGCGUAAUGAUUUGGAUACUGUCUCGGAGAGGGGCUCGGUGAAAUAGACUUGUCUGUGAAGAUGCGGACUACCUGCACCAGGACAGAAAGACCCUAUGAAGCUUUACUGUAACUUGAAAUUGAAAUUGGACUUUAUUCGCGCAGCAUAGGUGGGAGGCGUUGAUUAUAAUCUUGCGGGAUUAUUGGAGCCAUCAGUGAGAUACCACUCUUGUAAUGUUAGAUUUCUAACUUUGAAUCAUUAUCUGGUCAAAGAACAGUUUCAGGCGGGCAGUUUGACUGGGGCGGUCGCCUCCUAAACGGUAACGGAGGCGUACAAAGGUUUCCUCUGAACGGUUAGAAAUCGUAUCUAGAGUGUAAAGGCAUAAGGAAGCUUGACUGUGAGACCUACAAGUCGAGCAGGGACGAAAGUCGGUCUUAGUGAUCUGACGGUACUGAGUGGAAAGGCCGUCACUCAACGGAUAAAAGUUACUCUAGGAUAACAGGCUGAUCUCCCCCAAGAGUUCACAUCGACGGGGAGGUUUGGCACCUCGAUGUCGGCUCAUCGCAUCCUGGGGCGGUAGUACGUCCCAAGGGUUGGGCUGUUCGCCCAUGAAAGCGGUACGCGAGCUGGGUUCAGAACGUCGUGAGACAGUUCGGUCCAUAUCCGGUGUAGGCGUUAGAAUAUUGAGAGGAGCCUUCUUUAGUACGAGAGGACCGAGAAGGACAUACCUCUGGUGUACCAGUUAUCGUGCCAACGGUAAACGCUGGGUAGCUAUGUAUGGAGUGGAUAACCGCUGAAAGCAUCUAAGUGGGAAGCCCACCUCAAGAUAAGUAUUCUCAUC